rnacentral:rRNA from 1 species
UCAGAUUGAACGCUGGCGGCAGGCCUAACACAUGCAAGUCGAGCGGUAACAGAAAGUAGCUUGCUACUUUGCUGACGAGCGGCGGACGGGUGAGUAAUGCUUGGGAACAUGCCUUGAGGUGGGGGACAACAGUUGGAAACGACUGCUAAUACCGCAUAAUGUCUACGGACCAAAGGGGGCUUCGGCUCUCGCCUUUAGAUUGGCCCAAGUGGGAUUAGCUAGUUGGUGAGGUAAUGGCUCACCAAGGCAACGAUCCCUAGCUGGUUUGAGAGGAUGAUCAGCCACACUGGAACUGAGACACGGUCCAGACUCCUACGGGAGGCAGCAGUGGGGAAUAUUGCACAAUGGGCGAAAGCCUGAUGCAGCCAUGCCGCGUGUGUGAAGAAGGCCUUCGGGUUGUAAAGCACUUUCAGUCAGGAGGAAAGGGUGUGAGUUAAUACCUCAUAUCUGUGACGUUACUGACAGAAGAAGCACCGGCUAACUCCGUGCCAGCAGCCGCGGUAAUACGGAGGGUGCGAGCGUUAAUCGGAAUUACUGGGCGUAAAGCGUACGCAGGCGGUUUGUUAAGCGAGAUGUGAAAGCCCCGGGCUCAACCUGGGAACUGCAUUUCGAACUGGCAAACUAGAGUGUGAUAGAGGGUGGUAGAAUUUCAGGUGUAGCGGUGAAAUGCGUAGAGAUCUGAAGGAAUACCGAUGGCGAAGGCAGCCACCUGGGUCAACACUGACGCUCAUGUACGAAAGCGUGGGGAGCAAACGGGAUUAGAUACCCCGGUAGUCCACGCCGUAAACGAUGUCUACUAGAAGCUCGGAACCUCGGUUCUGUUUUUCAAAGCUAACGCAUUAAGUAGACC